AUUGAACGCUGGCAGCAUGCCUUACACAUGCAAGUCGAACGGUAACGGGUCCUUCGGGAUGCCGACGAGUGGCGAACGGGUGAGUAAUAUAUCGGAACGUGCCCAGUAGUGGGGGAUAACUGCUCGAAAGAGCAGCUAAUGCCGCAUACGACCUGAGGGUGAAAGGGGGGGAUCGCAAGGCCUCUCGCUAUUGGAGCGGCCGAUAUCAGAUUAGCUAGUUGGUGGGGUAAAGGCCUACCAAGGCAACGAUCUGUAGUUGGUCUGAGAGGACGACCAGCCACACUGGGACUGAGACACGGCCCAGACUCCUACGGGAGGCAGCAGUGGGGAACUUUGGACAAUGGGCGCAAGCCUGAUCCAGCAAUGCCGCGUGCAGGAAGAAGGCCUUCGGGUUGUAAACUGCUUUUGUCAGGGAAGAAAUCUUCUGGGCUAAUACUCCGGGAGGAUGACGGUACCUGAAGAAUAAGCACCGGCUAACUACGUG
rnacentral:rRNA from 1 species